UCCGGAAGCCGGAGAGCUGGAGCUUUGAAGCCACCCCGGUCAAAGGAUGCUGAGUCCGGAGCGCCUAGCCCUACCGGACUACGAGUAUCUGGCUCAGCGACAUGUCCUCACCUACAUGGAGGAUGCAGUGUGCCAGCUGCUAGAGAACAGGGAAGAUAUUAGCCAAUAUGGAAUUGCCAGGUUCUUCACUGAAUAUUUUAACAGUGUAUGCCAGGGAACACACAUUCUCUUUCGAGAAUUCAGCUUCGUCCAAGCCACCCCCCACAAUAGGGUAUCAUUUUUACGGGCCUUCUGGAGAUGCUUCCGAACUGUGGGCAAAAAUGGCGAUUUGCUGACCAUGAAAGAAUAUCACUGUUUGCUGCAAUUACUGUGUCCUGAUUUCCCGCUGGAGCUCACUCAGAAAGCAGCCAGGUACGUCUCCUGGACUCUUGAAACCAACUCAGCUCUCUGUGGGCCACUGCUUCCUAGAGAAACCUGAAGUGUAUACAAAUGAAAAAAAGGAGCAUUUAGGGAAGAAACUGGCAGUGGGAGAGGGGUCUAUUUGGGAUGUGCCCCAAAACAUAAUACAUUCUGCAUUUCUAAAGGGAAGCGAAAUGAUCCUUUGUGGUUUCUGUGGGGAGCCUCAGGGUCUGAAGAUAGAGUUGGAGGGUGGUGAGAUGAAGAGGCAGAAAAAGCCCAAACCCCUCCAAUCCCCCCCACACACACACCCUAGAGGAUA
rnacentral:sRNA from 1 species